GACGAACGCUGGCGGCGUGCUUAACACAUGCAAGUCGAACGGAAAGGCCCUUCGGGGUACUCGAGUGGCGAACGGGUGAGUAACACGUGGGUGAUCUGCCCUGCACUUUGGGAUAAGCCUGGGAAACUGGGUCUAAUACCGAAUAGGACCACGCGCUUCAUGGUGUGUGGUGGAAAGCUUUUGCGGUGUGGGAUGGGCCCGCGGCCUAUCAGCUUGUUGGUGGGGUAAUGGCCUACCAAGGCGACGACGGGUAGCCGGCCUGAGAGGGUGACCGGCCACACUGGGACUGAGAUACGGCCCAGACUCCUACGGGAGGCAGCAGUGGGGAAUAUUGCACAAUGGGCGCAAGCCUGAUGCAGCGACGCCGCGUGAGGGAUGACGGCCUUCGGGUUGUAAACCUCUUUCAAUAGGGACGAAGCGCAAGUGACGGUACCUAUAGAAGAAGCACCGGCCAACUACGUGCCAGCAGCCGCGGUAAUACGUAGGGUGCGAGCGUUGUCCGGAAUUACUGGGCGUAAAGAGCUCGUAGGUGGUUUGUCGCGUUGUUCGUGAAAACUCACAGCUUAACUGUGGGCGUGCGGGCGAUACGGGCAGACUAGAGUACUGCAGGGGAGACUGGAAUUCCUGGUGUAGCGGUGGAAUGCGCAGAUAUCAGGAGGAACACCGGUGGCGAAGGCGGGUCUCUGGGCAGUAACUGACGCUGAGGAGCGAAAGCGUGGGGAGCGAACAGGAUUAGAUACCCUGGUAGUCCACGCCGUAAACGGUGGGUACUAGGUGUGGGUUCCUUCCUUGGGAUCCGUGCCGCGGCUAACGUAUUAAGUACCCCGCCUGGGGAGUACGGCCGCAAGGCUAAAACUCAAAGGAAUUGACGGGGGCCCGCACAAGCGGCGGAGCAUGUGGAUUAAUUCGAUGCAACGCGAAGAACCUUACCUGGGUUUGACAUGCACAGGACGCCGGCAGAGAUGUCGGUUCCCUUGUGGCCUGUGUGCAGGUGGUGCAUGGCUGUCGUCAGCUCGUGUCGUGAGAUGUUGGGUUAAGUCCCGCAACGAGCGCAACCCUUGUCCUAUGUUGCCAGCGGGUUAUGCCGGGGACUCGUAGGAGACUGCCGGGGUCAACUCGGAGGAAGGUGGGGAUGACGUCAAGUCAUCAUGCCCCUUAUGUCCAGGGCUUCACACAUGCUACAAUGGCCGGUACAAAGGGCUGCGAUGCCGUGAGGUGGAGCGAAUCCUUUCAAAGCCGGUCUCAGUUCGGAUCGGGGUCUGCAACUCGACCCCGUGAAGUCGGAGUCGCCAGUAAUCGCAGAUCAGCAACGCUGCGGUGAAUACGUUCCCGGGCCU
rnacentral:rRNA from 1 species